rnacentral:sRNA from 1 species
AGCAGCCGCGGUAAUUCCAGCUCCAAUAGCGUAUAUUAAAGUUGUUGCAGUUAAAAAGCUCGUAGUUGAAUUUCGGGAUUGACACAUCGGUCGUGCCUUAAGGGGUAUGAACUGGUGUAGUCAAUUUCUCACCUUCUGGAGAACCGCGAUGCCCUUAAUUGGGUGUCACGGGGAACCAGGACCUUUACUUUGAAAAAUUAGAGUGUUUAAAGCAGGCAUUUUGCUUGAAUACAUUAGCAUGGAAUAAUAAAAUAGGACGGCAUGAUUCUAUUUUGUUGGUUUCUAGGAUCACCGUAAUGAUUAAUAGGGAUAGUUGGGGGCAUUAGUAUUCAAUUGUCAGAGGUGAAAUUCUUGGAUUUAUUGAAGACUAACUACUGCGAAAGCAUUUGCCAAGGAUGUUUUCAUUAAUCAAGAACGAAAGUUAGGGGAUCGAAGACGAUCAGAUACCGUCGUAGUCUUAACCAUAAACUAUGCCGACUAGGAAUCAGACGACGUUAAUUUUUAAUGACUCGUUUGGCAC